rnacentral:rRNA from 1 species
GACGCACGCUGGCGGCGUGCUUAACACAUGCAAGUCGAACUGAAAGGCCCUGCUCUUGUGGGGUGCUCGAGUGGCGAACGAGUGAGUAACCCGUGAGUAACCUGCCCUUGACUUUGGGAUACUUCAAGCAACUAGGGCGAAUACCGGAUAGGAUCUCCUACCGCAUGGUGGGGGCUGGAAAGUUUCGGCGGCUGGGGAUUCAGUCGCGGCUUAUCAGCUUGUUGGUGGGGUAGUGGCUUACCAAGGCUUUGACUGGUAGCCGGCCUGGGGGGGUGACCGGCCACAUUGGGACUGAGAUACGGCCGAGACUCCUACGGGAGGCAGCAGUGGGGAAUAUUGCACAAUGGGCGGAAGCCUGAUGCAGCAACGCCGCGUGCGGGAUGACGGCCUUCGGGUUGUAAACCGCUUUCGCCUGUGACGAAGCGUGAGUGACGGUAAUGGGUAAAGAAGCACCGGCUAACUACGUG